rnacentral:lncRNA from 1 species
GACGAUUCCAGUCGCCGUUUUCGCCUCACCGCCUCACCGUCGUCGACUCGUAUCUUCUCGACCGCGUGUCAAGUGUUUGGAUUACGCUCCAGCGUUGUGUUCCUUUUGUUCUCAAUCGUUCCCCUUUUUUCCCUUCUCUUUAUCGCGCAAUUCAACCUAAUUGUGAUUUAGUCUCAUUUGCGUUAUAACUCCGAUUUUAAGGCUCGGUUGUAUCGUGUUAACCACGUGUGUCAAACGUGUGUACGUGAAUGGAUGUGUGCAAAUCCCUAAAAUACGAUUUUGGAACUCACGUGGUUUCAGAAAUUGAACUCUGGCGAAGUGUAUUGAUGCAAUAAUUCUACGAGUUUUUAGUUCAGUUGUAGUGUACAUAUAACUCGCGUGUGCCGUGAUAGUCACUGUCAGUGAUGAAUUUAUCAAAUGCAAUUAAUCUAAGCAAGCCGCUGAGAUCUAGUCUCAAAAUGUGCUCCCUUUCUACAGUUCUGCUAGAUUGGAUGAUGUUCGUGCGGAUUUAAUGAAAUCAAGACUCGACGUUUUCUACGCGGAGAAAUGCGUAGGCGCGCGUAGUGGAUCCUUGCGGGUGGAAACCGCAAGGUGAAACUUGUUGCCGUGAAUGGUUUUUCAAAAUUUUCGCCGUGGAUUUGGGUGGCGUUUGAUGAAAUGUUGGCCGCGUCCCGUGUCGGCGGAAGUGCCCAAGAAAGCACGGAUCACCUGUUCCUGUUGCCCGAGAGAGUCCUUAACAUGGACAGCGCCUCCUUGCGCCAGGACUUGGCCGGCCUCGAUUUCAGCGUUCAUCUUCUGCACGAUGGUCCACAAGGCAACGUUUGGUUCACGCAGAUGACAUUUCAUAUUUGGAGCAAGCUGUUGAAAUUCGUACAGUAGCAGUUUAAAUUAGCCAAUCGUGAACUGCCAGAGCGCCAGUCAACGUUUUAUAGAUGUGAGUGAGAGGAGGCACGCAGGCAGACUCAAUUAUUUCGUCAAACUGAAAUACCCUUCAUCGUGUAUUUGGACCGGAGUCAUACGCUUCGUGGAAAAAAAAAAUCUGCUCCGCCCCCCCCCUUCAGCACCAAAAUGGAGGUUUUCGGGGGUUUAUCUGCGGAGCGUGUGUGAAAUCUAUCUUUCUAUGAAAAU